CGGUGCGCGCGGCCGGGAAGCGGAGCGGGCGGGCGGACCGGCGUCGCCAGGGACCUCGGCUCGGCGUGGGGAGCGGACGCCUGCCGCAGGUUUCCGAGCGCGUGCGAUGAGCGCAGGGUCGGGGGUAACUGCGAGCCCUGAGAGAACAGGACUGCCCUGCCGUCACAGCGGGGUUCCUUUGAAGUUGGAGGGUUAUGGUGAGAACAAAAUGAGACAAUGAGAUGUAAAGUGAGCGACACAUAGUAGCUGGGAGACCUCAGUCUCUUCCGUGAUGUGGAAGCCCCUCCGUGCUCAGACCCCGAUGCUCUGGAUCUCUCCAUCUCUAGCCUUAAGUGAGGACCGUAUUACACGUCGGUUUCUCGGAGAGAAGACAAGUGUGCUUUCCGUCUGCAAUGCACCAUUUGCAUAGUCGCAUGGGACUUCCAAAGUCGGCAAGUAACACAGCCUGUCUUUCAUCUGCGCUGAGUAGACCUAGACCAGUGGCUCUCAACUGGAGUGGUUUUGUGCUCCCAAGCCCAGGGCACACUUGAGAACUCAGAGAUACUUCUGAUGGUUGUGCCUGGAGGAAGGGUGCCCAGCGGUGCCCAGUAUGCACAGUCGAGGCCAGACUGCAGCAGUGGAAGGUGACAGCCGAGCCUCAGAAGGAGUCCCAGCCGAAAUGUCAACAGUCCCACGGCUGAGAAACAGGCCUAAAGUUUCAAGCAAUCAAGCAAGGGCUUCUGGCUGGGGCUCUUACUGCAGAGAUUUCCAAAGGAGUGAGGAGGGGGCAAGGCUUAACAGCAAUGUUGUGAAGCAGCUGGGCAGUGAUUUUCAAACUUUGGUUUUUACCAACAAAAUCAAUCUCUCUGUUGAAUGACCUUAACUCUAUUGUAUAACUGAUCUCUUUUGUCCUUAAAGGACUCGCACCAAUUAAUAAGAAAAAAAACAGUAAAAGCCCACUUGAAAAUUAA